CACAAAUACAGAGAGAGAGAGAGAGAGAGAGAGAAAUACAUACAUACAUUUAUCUGUAUAAACCUUGAUCAGAUUAUGUUUUCAAAUAUAUCUCUGGAUCUCACUUGAAAAAAAGUCCAAUUCAGUGGACUUUCAACCUUGGCAAAUCUAGUAUCAAGGACACAAGUGCUGUUUCUGUUCCCAUGCUGCUAGAAAUAAUUGUCAAAUUGUAAGCAAGAAAAAACACAACAGCAGGUUCUUUGCUUUUGUACCCUUGGUUAAACUAAAGGAGCAAAUCCGACCGUGCAAUGGUAGCUGACAAUGAAACUUUUUAACUCUGAGAAAUCAUUCUGACACGGAUUUCAUUUUGGCAUACUCUGCAUAGAACACAAGUUCCUUAUAAUGAAAUAGACGUGAAUGUGAUUGCAAUCAUGGAAGCUAUAUAAAUACAGCAGGCACGUCUGCGCAUGUUCAGGUUAAAGAUAUAUAAAUACAGCAGUCUGCGCAUGUUUAGGUUGUAAGCCGCAGGGUACAGAUGGACACCACCAGUGGCAAGGCUAGUUCUGAUGUAUCCUGUGCUGUGCUAGUGAGGCUAGUUGUGAUGUCUCCUGUGCUGUGCUAGUGAGGCUAGUUCUGAUGUAUCCUGUGCUGUGCUAGUGAGGCUAGUUCUGAUGUCUCCUGUGCUAUGCUAGUGAGACUAGUUCUGAUGUCUCCUGUGCUAUGCUAGUGAGGCAAGUUGUGAUGUCUCCUGUGCUAAUGCUAGUGAGGCAAGUUGUGAUGUCUCCUGUGCUGUGCUAGUGAGGCAAGUUGUGAUGUCUCCUGUGCUGUGCUAAUGCUAGUGAGGCAAGUUGUGAUGUCUCCUGUGCUCUGCUAGUGAGGCAAGUUCUGAUGUCUCCUGUGCUGUGCUGUGCUAGUGAGGCAAGUUGUGAUGUCUCCUGUGCUCUGCUAGUGAGGCAAGUUCUGAUGUCUCCUGUGCUGUGCUGUGCUAACUAGUUCUGAUGUCUCCGGUGCUCUGCUAGUGAGGCCCAAGUGGGGUGGUCACCCAGCUCUCUGAGAGCUCUGAGCUGCUCCGCAGGCUUGACAUGGUGACAAUGCAAUGCGCUGCGUCAGCCCCUGCCCCUGACAGUGAUUUAUACGGGGUGCCAAACAGCCCGAUCGGCAGCGCAGCUGACAUGCUAAUUCAUGGAAAAGAAAUGAAAUGUGACACUGUAAUUGAUCUCCAAAUGCAUAAUUGGGAAAUGCAAGGACAUGCGUUAUUUUCAGAAAGAUGUGUGCUUCUACCGCACAGACAGUUGAAGGUCUGGAGGAGUGAUUAGCAAGGCAUACAUUCCUGAAGGGCAUAGAAAAUACUGCUUAGAUAAAGCUGAUCAUUACAAUUGAGUGAGUGUGCAUGAAACACCAUAAUAAGACUACACACUGUCAAACAGUAAGUUAAGUUCGAACCUGCUGAACCUAUUAUGUUGAUCUAACAGAUUCCAACACAGAAUUGAAUUAAUCUAACUGAAUCAUGUAGGACAAAUAUUAAACAAUAAACUAAGUACACAACUGGGAAGUCAACCCCUCCUUUAUAAAUGGAUUCCAAUCAGCCUUUGCAAGAACAUUGAAGUAAUGAAUGCUUCUGAAUGUUGUUCCAGAUUUAUUCAGAAUAUGCCAUUUCUAGAAGCAGUGGCAUGGCAAUAUCUUGAUCUAGUUGCAGUGAUUUAGCAUCUUCAAUACAACCUUUAUAAGAUCACACUCAGUAUGUUCCUGCUUAUCAAACUUGCAUGACACAAUUAUGUUGAAGUUACAUGAUUAAAUAAAGAAUUCCAUUCCAUUUCAUGUCAGCUUAAUAAAAAAAAUGUAUUGGAAUUAGUUUGUCAAGUUGUGCCAGUUUUGUAAGAAACCUAAAUA
ensembl:lncRNA